ensembl:lncRNA
AGAGAAGAAGAGCAAUGGGAAAGAGAUGGCAGAGAAAUUCUAGGAGUGACAUGAAAUAUGGGGAAAGGAGUGACAGAACAUCAGGUGGAAUUAAAUCUGACAAAGACUCUUUGAUUGAAAUGGGAGUGAAGCAAUGGGAGCGGAGCAUCCAAAUUCUCCAGUGGGAGUGUAGAGCCUGAAGCUGCAGAUGAACAGGAAACAGAAGAGAACCAAACACAGAAAGUGAUGGAGUGUUAAAACCUCUUUAGAUCUCUAUAAGAGCAUGUGGUCUCCUCUCCAGCUCCCAUCAACCCCCAGGAGAAGAUGAAGGGAGCUUUGAGUCUCUCAGGCGGAAGAAUAUUUUGCCAGUAGCACUGUGUGUAACGAUCCUCUUCAUCUGAGGAACAGGAAAGAUCGGACCAAAACGCAGUGUGGGUGUCCAGUAUGAUAACUGCCAUGGUGGACUGUCCAUGGAUCACCGUGGAGACCUGUGAUUGACAGACAGGCACUAGCCCCCGUCUGGCUGGCUGGCAGGCCGUCAUUACGAUGAGCAGGAGCAGAUUUGCUAUGCUGGCGACAGGACCGCACGGGAAAUGUCAACGACCAUCAGAGCCCCAGACAGACUUCCUCCCCUCCCCCAAGUACCUCACCUAAUGUCAGCUAAUGCCCAUGCUCAUCAUCCAGACCCUCGGUACCAUCAACACAGCUUCACAUACUUCAUCUACACUCAUUUACAAACCACAUGCACACAAAGCACUCUACCCCUGUAUACUUCGUCCAACAACUCAACACGCCUCACCCAAACCCCCACAUGGCUCACCCAUCCCUCACAUAUUUCACCCCAACCCCUAUGUAUCACCCAACGGCCUCACACCUCAUCCAACCACCACAGUACCUCACUCCUUAUGUGCGUCAUCCGCCCCACACAUCCACCCGUCACCCCCCCCGUCACCCCCCAUGCACCUCAGCCAGCCUCCUAUAUUAAUACCAUGUCUCCCUCUAUUGGCCUAUUGCCCAGCAGCACUCUGCAUGUUAACAUUUCAAAAUUCCUCAAAUGGUGAGAAAGAAGUAUUUUCUUGCCUUCAGUCUAUGUGAACAGCCAGUCUGCCCUGCAUGCCAGACAGCUAGCUAGAACAUCACGUGUGGUCAGUUCUGAGACAGACUGGCACUCUGACAGGCACCCUGACCAGAGUAAGUGCCUCACACAUAUUACAGCAGUUUACUGCAGUUUGGCAGGACACUGACAACAAGACCAGCCAAUGCCUGGCAAACUGACUGACCCCCGGUCUAGUUGGCACCUAGUAAGAUAAGGAGAAAAUAUAAGGAAUAUGACAUUGAGAUCAUGUGUAAGUGAAAAAGGUUUCGGUAAUUAUUUUCUCUUUCUUGACGUGUUUUUUUUUUCUGCAAACGUACACACAGUGCAAACGUUUAGGAAAUCUGUUCCAAGGUAUCUCUAGAGUAAAGUCUUAACAGUCAUCCUUCUCCUCUCCGGGCCCAGACACAGCGUCAUGUUCAUGUUGGUACUAUUCAGAGCUCUGCUGCCUUGAAUGAUACCACAAAACUAAAUAAACACAUUAAAAUGGCUUCCUGUCGCCUCCCAUUGGCGACACAGGAAGAAAUCUCAGUUUCAUUACAUAGGAAAUUAAAAGGAAGGGUAUUUGUAGAGUACAAGGAGGAAAGGUGAGGAAAACUUUCUGCGAGACCACAAUCUAACUAUAUUACAUAUAAUCACUCAUUGAAAUAGUUUUUUAUUUAUUUGAAUUCUGUUCCUCCAGCCUGGGAUUUUUAAAAUUCCUGCCAUCGAUCUAGAAGCUGCUUGAAGCAGUGGGAGAGAGGGUUAGAUCUGUGGUAUGGAAAUACUGGGCAGAAGUUAUGAAUGAGGCAAUCUAAAAAAUUAAUAGGUAAAUCAAUGAAGCAUUCAAUGUGCAUCAACAUUGACUUAAUCAAGCAUUCGUCUUUAUGGUCUUGUAUUAUUGAUUUUAUAUCAACGUAUCAAGUUGAAAUCAAAAUUAUUUUUGCUUCUGUACAUUUUGAGGAUUGACUGAAAACCUGUCCCUUGCAUUAGAAAUAAAAUGCAAUGCAAAAUAAA